UUCAAACAUUGUACAAAAUUGAAGAACUGAAACUUCAAAUGGAGAAGGGAUGAAAUUAGUAUAAAACUUCAAAACAAAUUAUUGCACCUCAAAAUAAGCC